rnacentral:rRNA from 1 species
AAACUGAAGAGUUUGAUCAUGGCUCAGAUUGAACGCUGGCGGCAUGCCUAACACAUGCAAGUCGAACGGAAACGAUGCUAGCUUGCUAGCAGGCGUCGAGUGGCGGACGGGUGAGUAAUGCAUAGGAAUCUACCUAGUAGCGGGGGACAACCUGGUGAAAACCAGGCUAAUACCGCAUAAUCCCUACGGGGCAAAGCAGGGGACCUUCGGGCCUUGCACUAUUAGAUGAGCCUAUGUCGGAUUAGCUUGUUGGUGAGGUAAUGGCUCACCAAGGCGACGAUCCGUAGCUGGUUUGAGAGGAUGAUCAGCCACACUGGGACUGAGACACGGCCCAGACUCCUACGGGAGGCAGCAGUGGGGAAUAUUGCACAAUGGAGGAAACUCUGAUGCAGCAAUGCCGCGUGUGUGAAGAAGGCCUUAGGGUUGUAAAGCACUUUCAGACGUGAGGAAAAGUUAAGUCAUAAUACGGCUUAGCCCUGACGUUAACGUCAGAAGAAGCACCGGCUAACUCCGUGCCAGCAGCCGCGGUAAUACGGAGGGUGCAAGCGUUAAUCGGAAUUACUGGGCGUAAAGCGCGCGUAGGCGGUUAAAUAAGUCAGAUGUGAAAGCCCCGGGCUCAACCUGGGAACUGCAUUUGAAACUGUUUAGCUAGAGUGUGGUAGAGGAGAGUGGAAUUUCAGGUGUAGCGGUGAAAUGCGUAGAUAUCUGAAGGAACAUCAGUGGCGAAGGCGGCUCUCUGGACCAACACUGACGCUGAGGUGCGAAAGCGUGGGUAGCAAACGGGAUUAGAUACCCCGGUAGUCCACGCCGUAAACGAUGUCAACUAACCGUUGGGCGGGUUUCCGCUUAGUGGUGCAGCUAACGCAAUAAGUUGACCGCCUGGGGAGUACGGCCGCAAGGCUAAAACUCAAAUGAAUUGACGGGGACCCGCACAAGCGGUGGAGCAUGUGGUUUAAUUCGAUGCAACGCGAAAA